rnacentral:lncRNA from 1 species
AUGUCUCUCGCAGGGGGUUGUAUUGAACCUUGGGUCCUGUUGUUAAAGAAGGACAUAAAUAGAGGAGUAAAGAACCGGACCACUCAGAUUUGUUUAGCUCUUCUGAUCAAAACCAUUCUUUAUCCGACAAAAAUGAUAUCAAGAAUGUGGAUUUUAUGGACAUGCACAGUCAUAUUUUUACUGGUCAGAGACUGUCAUUGCAUUCAAAAGACCACGUUAUCGAAGAACUGGGGACCACAGUCAAUGCUUUACUUAAAGGGAAAACAUGGAAGACGGUUUGUUCCUGACAUUGAUGAUAUUAUUUCAAGUUCAGGGUUGAAAAGCUGGUACGCUGUUCUCAAAGGGUUUCAGAAACUGAAGUCGCUGAACGCAAGAAAACAAUCAGGAUUGUUCACAAUGCAGAACUUUGUUAUCCGUUAA